rnacentral:rRNA from 1 species
GGCCAGACUCCUACGGGAGGCAGCAGUGGGGGAUAUUGCACAAUGGGGGAAACCCUGAUGCAGCGACGCCGCGUGGGCGAAGAAGUAUUUCGGUAUGUAAAGCCCUAUCAGCAGGGAAGAAGAAAUGACGGUACCUGAGUAAGAAGCACCGGCUAAAUACGUGCCAGCAGCCGCGGUAAUACGUAUGGUGCAAGCGUUAUCCGGAUUUACUGGGUGUAAAGGGAGCGCAGGCGGCACGGCAAGCCUGAUGUGAAAGCCCGCGGCCCAACCGCGGGACUGCAUUGGAAACUGUAUUUCUAGAGUGUCGGAGAGGCAAGUGGAAUUCCUGGUGUAGCGGUGAAAUGCGUAGAUAUCAGGAGGAACACCAGUGGCGAAGGCGGCUUGCUGGACGAUGACUGACGUUGAGGCUCGAAAGCGUGGGGAGCAAACAGGAUUAGAUACCCCUGUA